rnacentral:rRNA from 1 species
UACCAGCACCCCCGAGUGGUUGGGACGAUUAUUGGGCCUAAAGCAUCCGUAGCCGGUCCUACAAGUCUUCCGUUAAAUCCACCUGCUUAACAGAUGGGCUGCGGAAGAUACUAUAGGGCUAGGAGGCGGGAGAGGCAAGCGGUACUCAGUGGGUAGGGGUAAAAUCCUCUGAUCCAUUGAAGACCACCAGUGGCGAAGGCGGCUUGCCAGAACGCGCUCGACGGUGAGGGAUGAAAGCUGGGGGAGCAAACCG